GGACUUUAAAAGCUUGCUUUUAAAGUUAGCGGCGGACGGGUGAGUAACACGUGGGCAACCUGCCUGUAAGACUGGGAUAACUUCGGGAAACCGGAGCUAAUACCGGAUAAUUCUUUCCNCCACAUGGUGGAAAGCUGAAAGACGGCAUCUCGCUGUCACUUACAGAUGGGCCCGCGGCGCAUUAGCUAGUUGGUGAGGUAACGGCUCACCAAGGCAACGAUGCGUAGCCGACCUGAGAGGGUGAUCGGCCACACUGGGACUGAAACACGGCCCAAACUCCUACGGGAGGCAGCAGUAGGGAAUCUUCCGCAAUGGACGAAAGUCUGACGGAGCAACGCCGCGUGAGUGAUGAAGGUUUUCGGAUCGUAAAGCUCUGUUGUUAGGGAAGAACAAGUACAAGAGUAACUGCUUGUACCUUGACGGUACCUAACCAGAAAGCCACGGCUAACUACGUGCCAGCAGCCGCGGUAAUACGUAGGUGGCAAGCGUUGUCCGGAAUUAUUGGGCGUAAAGCGCGCGCAGGCGGUCCUUUAAGUCUGAUGUGAAAGCCCACGGCUCAACCGUGGAGGGUCAUUGGAAACUGGGGGACUUGAGUGCAGAAGAGAAGAGUGGAAUUCCACGUGUAGCGGUGAAAUGCGUAGAGAUGUGGAGGAACACCAGUGGCGAAGGCGACUCUUUGGUCUGUAACUGACGCUGAGGCGCGAAAGCGUGGGGAGCAAACAGGAUUAGAUACCCUGGUAGUCCACGCCGUAAACGAUGAGUGCUAAGUGUUAGAGGGUUUCCGCCCUUUAGUGCUGCAGCAAACGCAUUAAGCACUCCGCCUGGGGAGUACGGCCGCAAGGCUGAAACUCAAAGGAAUUGACGGGGGCCCGCACA
rnacentral:rRNA from 2 species